rnacentral:rRNA from 1 species
UGAAUACGAGACGCUAAGGCGUCGAAGUAGUGUAUGUCAUACUUCCAAGAAAAGCUUGCACUGUCAUAGAUAAAAAACGCCUGUACCAUAACCGACACAGGUGGGUAGGUAGAGUAUACUAAGGGGCGCGAGAUAACUCUCUCUAAGGAACUCGGCAAAAUAACUCCGUAACUUCGGGAGAAGGAGUGCCUUAUUCGUAAGGUUGCAAUAACAAGAUCCAAGCAACUGUUUAUCAAAAACACAGGUCUCCGCUAAGUCGUAAGACGAUGUAUGGGGGCUGACGCCUGCCCAGUGCCAGAAGGUUAAAGAAGUUGGUUAGCAAUUGCGAAGCUGAUAACUGAAGCCCUGGUGAACGGCGGCCGUAACAAUAACGGUCCUAAGGUAGCGAAAUUCCUUGUCGGGUAAGUUCCGACCCGCACGUAAGGCGUAAUGAUUUGGAUACUGUCUCGGAGAGGGGCUCGGUGAAAUAGACUUGUCUGUGAAGAUGCGGACUACCUGCACCAGGACAGAAAGACCCUAUGAAGCUUUACUGUAACUUGAAAUUGAAAUUGGACUUUAUUCGCGCAGUAUAGGUGGGAGGCGUUGAUUAUAAUCUUGUGGGAUUAUUGGAGCCAUCAGUGAGAUACCACUCUUGUAAUGUUAGAUUUCUAACUUUGAAUCAUUAUCUGGUCAAAGAACAGUCUCAGGCGGGCAGUUUGACUGGGGCGGUCGCCUCCUAAACGGUAACGGAGGCGUACAAAGGUUUCCUCUGAACGGUUAGAAAUCGUAUCUAGAGUGUAAAGGCAUAAGGAAGCUUGACUGUGAGACCUACAAGUCGAGCAGGGACGGAAGUCGGUCUUAGUGAUCUGACGGUACUGAGUGGAAAGGCCGUCACUCAACGGAUAAAAGUUACUCUAAGGAUAACAGGCUGAUCUCCCCCAAGAGUUCACAUCGACGGGGAGGUUUGGCACCUCGAUGUCGGCUCAUCGCAUCCUGGGGCGGUAGUACGUCCCAAGGGUUGGGCUGUUCGCCCAUGAAAGCGGUACGCGAGCUGGGUUCAGAACGUCGUGAGACAGUUCGGUCCAUAUCCGGUGUAGGCGUUAGAAUAUUGAGAGGAGCCUUCUUUAGUACGAGAGGACCGAGAAGGACAUACCUCUGGUGUACCAGUUAUCGUGCCAACGGUAAACGCUGGGUAGCUAUGUAUGGAGUGGAUAACCGCUGAAAGCAUCUAAGUGGGAAGCCCACCUCAAGAUAAGUAUUCUCAUC